rnacentral:tRNA from 1 species
GCGCUAGUAGUCUAAUGGCAGGACGUAACCUUCCCAAGGUUAUAAUCCGGGUUCGACCCCCGGCUAGCGCA